rnacentral:rRNA from 1 species
GACAGAGGGGGCAAGCGUUGCUCGGAAUCACUGGGCGUAAAGGGCGCGUAGGCGGGAUGGCAAGUCAGUCGUGAAAUCUCUCGGCUCAACCGAGAAACGUCGGCUGAUACUGCCGUUCUUGAGGGAUGCAGAGGAGACUGGAAUUCCCGGUGUAGCGGUGAAAUGUGUAGAGAUCGGGAGGAACACCGGUGGCGAAGGCGGGUCUCUGGGCAUCUCCUGACGCUGAGGCGCGAAAAGCGUGGGGAGCAAACGGG